rnacentral:rRNA from 1 species
UAGAGUUUGAUCCUGGCUCAGGAUGAACGCUGGCGGCGUGCUUAACACAUGCAAGUCGAACGGACGCCUUGGGAAACUGAAGCGUUAGUGGCAAACGGGUGCGUAACACGUGGGUGACCUACCCCAGAGUGGGGAACAACGAACCGAAAGGUUCGCUAAUACCGCAUAGGCUCGGCCUUUCAUUGGGCAGAGUAAAGCCGUAAGGCGCUUUGGGAGGGGCCCGCGGCCCAUCAGGUAGUUGGUGAGGUAAUGGCCCACCAAGCCGAUGACGGGUAGCUGGUCUGAGAGGACGAUCAGCCACACUGGCACUGAGAUACGGGCCAGACUCCUACGGGAGGCAGCAGUGAGGAAUAUUGCGCAAUGGGGGAAACCCUGACGCAGCGACGCCGCGUGGGCGACGAAGGCCUUCGGGUCGUAAAGCCCUUUUGGCAGGGACGAGUGAGGACGGUACCUGUCGAAUAAGUCUCGGCUAACUACGUGCCAGCAGCCGCGGUAAUACA